rnacentral:rRNA from 1 species
CAGUUCGGAUCGGAGUCUGCAACCCGACUCCGUGAAGCUGGAUUCGCUAGUAAUCGCGCAUCAGCCAUGGCGCGGUGAAUACGUUCCCGGGCCUUGUACACACCGCCCGUCAAGCCAUGGGAGCCGGGGGUGCUUGAAGUGCGUCGCCGUGAGGCGCGCCCUAGAGCAAAACCGGUGACUGGGGCUAAGUCGUAACAAGGUACC